rnacentral:rRNA from 1 species
GGGAUUGCCUCAGUAACGGCGAGUGAAGCGGCAACAGCUCAAAUUUGAAAUCUGGCCUCCUUGGGGGUCCGAGUUGUAAUUUGUAGAGGAUGCUUCGGCGUGGGCCCCGGUCUAAGUUCCUUGGAACAGGACGUCACAGAGGGUGAGAAUCCCGUACGUGGCCGUGGGUGCUCGCCAUGUGAAGCUCCUUCGACGAGUCGAGUUGUUUGGGAAUGCAGCUCUAAAUGGGAGGUAUAUUUCUUCUAAAGCUAAAUAUUGGCCAGAGACCGAUAGCGCACAAGUAGAGUGAUCGAAAGAUGAAAAGCACUUUGGAAAGAGAGUCAAAAAGUACGUGAAAUUGUUGAAAGGGAAGCGCUUGCAACCAGACCUGUCUGCAGUUGCUCAUCCGGGCUUCUGCCCGGUGCACUCUUCUGCAGUCAGGCCAGCAUCAGUUCUGGCGGUCGGAUAAAGGCGGUGGGAAUGUGGCUCCUCUCGGGGAGUGUUAUAGCCCAUCGUGCAAUGCGGCCAGCUGGGACUGAGGUCCGCGCUUCGGCUAGGAUGCUGGCGUAAUGGUUGUAAGCGGCCCGUCUUGAAACACGGACCAAGGAGUCUAACAUCUGUGCGAGUGUUUGGGUGUCAAGCCCAGGCGCGUAAUGAAAGUGAACGGAGGCGGGAACCUUCGGGUGCACCGUCGACCGAUCCUGAUGUCUUCGGAUGGAUUUGAGUAAGAGCAUAGCUGUUGGGACCCGAAAGAUGGUGAACUAUGCCUGAAUAGGGUGAAGCCAGAGGAAACUCUGGUGGAGGCUCGCAGCGGUUCUGACGUGCAAAUCGAUCGUCAAAUUUGGGCAUAGGGGCGAAAGACUAAUC